GAUGAACGCUGGCGGCGUGCCUAAUACAUGCAAGUCGAGCGAACGGACGAGAAGCUUGCUUCUCUGAUGUUAGCGGCGGACGGGUGAGUAACACGUGGAUAACCUACCUAUAAGACUGGGAUAACUUCGGGAAACCGGAGCUAAUACCGGAUAAUAUUUUGAACCGCAUGGUUCAAAAGUGAAAGACGGUCUUGCUGUCACUUAUAGAUGGAUCCGCGCUGCAUUAGCUAGUUGGUAAGGUAACGGCUUACCAAGGCAACGAUGCGUAGCCGACCUGAAAGAGUGAUAGGCCACAUUGGAACUGAGACACGGUCCAGACACCUACGGGAGGCAGCAAUAGGGGAUCUUCCGCAAUGGGCGAAAGCCUGACAGAGCAACGCCGCGUGAGUGAUGAAGGUCUUAGGAUCGUAAAACUCUGUUAUUAGGGAGGAACAUAUGUGUAAGUAACUGUGCACAUCUUGACGGUACCUAAUCAGAAAGCCACGGCUAACUACGUG
rnacentral:rRNA from 1 species